rnacentral:lncRNA from 1 species
ACUGCUGGCAGCUCCCAGGCUGCCAUGUGCAACUCAGCUCCAGCUCCUCCCUGGUUUACAGCCUUGGGCUGUGGUCUUCAGGGAGCAGAGUGGAAAUGGACUUUGAGACAGGAAAACUGGGGAAGAAAAUAAUACCUGCUGUGAGAUGAAAAUAUCUUGGUGCUCUGUUCUAGGCACUGAAGUUAUAUCCAUGAACAAAAAGCCAACAAUCUCAGCCUGCCUGUGGAACUUACACUUUGGGUUAAUUGACUGAAUUGGAAAGAAAGAAUAAGCCAAAAGCAGAGGGAAGAGAAAAAACGUAAAGUGCAGGCAUGUUGUCAAGAAGGAAAUGAAGAGGAAGUAUUCGUAUUAAGGCAGUACCGUAGAAAUUCAAU